rnacentral:sRNA from 1 species
GAAAGUGCAUAAAUGCUGAGACGAAUCACAUCUUCAGAGGAUUUAAACGAAUUAGUUCAUCGAAAAGCAGCAAAGGUAUGGAGAUGAAUUGGAUUCACCACCUCCGCACGGCCUAUGCACGAGGGGCCUCUGAAAAGAAGAUUUUCGGAGUUGUUUAAUUUCCCUGAUUCCUAUCCAUCAAAAGAACUUCAGGAACUCCAACAAAGGAAGAAGAGAACUUGCUGCACAACGGAAAAAUUUUUAAUUUUGAAGUUUUUAAAUUUUUAAAGC